rnacentral:rRNA from 1 species
UACGUAGGGGGCUAGCGUUGUCCGGAAUCAUUGGGCGUAAAGAGCGUGUAGGCGGCCCGGUAAGUCCGCUGUAAAAGUCAAAGGCUCAACCUUUGAAUGUCAGUGGAUACUGCCGGGCUAGAGUCCGGAAGAGGCGAGUGGAACUCCUGGUGUAGCGGUGGAAUGCGCAGAUAUCAGGAAGAACACCAACGGCGAAGGCAGCUCGCUAGGACGGUACUGAGCUGAGACGCGAAAAGCGUGGGGAGCGAACAUGG